rnacentral:rRNA from 1 species
GGGUGAGUAAUGCCUGGGAAUAUGCCUUGAUGUGGGGGAUAACUAUUGGAAACGAUAGCUAAUACCGCAUAAUGCCUACGGGCCAAAGAGGGGGAUCUUCGGACCUCUCGCGUCAAGAUUAGCCCAGGUGGGAUUAGCUAGUUGGUGAGGUAAUGGCUCACCAAGGCGACGAUCCCUAGCUGGUCUGAGAGGAUGAUCAGCCACACUGGAACUGAGACACGGUCCAGACUCCUACGGGAGGCAGCAGUGGGGAAUAUUGCACAAUGGGCGCAAGCCUGAUGCAGCCAUGCCGCGUGUGUGAAGAAGGCCUUCGGGUUGUAAAGCACUUUCAGUCGUGAGGAAGGUAGUUGCGUUAAUAGCGUAAUUAUUUGACGUUAGCGACAGAAGAAGCACCGGCUAACUCCGUGCCAGCAGCCGCGGUAAUACGGAGGGUGCGAGCGUUAAUCGGAAUUACUGGGCGUAAAGCGCAUGCAGGUGGUUUGUUAAGUCAGAUGUGAAAGCCCGGGGCUCAAACCUCGGAAUUGCAUUUGAAACUGGCGGACUAGAGUACUGUAGAGGGGGGUAGAAUUUCAGGUGUAGCGGUGAAAUGCGUAGAGAUCUGAAGGAAUACCGGUGGCGAAGGCGGCCCCCUGGACAGAUACUGACACUCAGAUGCGAAAGCGUGGGGAGCAAACAGGAUUAGAUACCCUGGUAGUCCACGCCGUAAACGAUGUCUACUUGGAGGUUGUGGCCUUGAGCCGUGGCUUUCGGAGCUAACGCGUUAAGUAGACCGCCUGGGGAGUACGGUCGCAAGAUUAAAACUCAAAUGAAUUGACGGGGGCCCGCACAAGCGGUGGAGCAUGUGGUUUAAUUCGAUGCAACGCGAAGAACCUUACCUACUCUUGACAUCUAGAGAAGCCAGUGGAGACACAGGUGUGCCUUCGGGAACUCUAAGACAGGUGCUGCAUGGCUGUCGUCAGCUCGUGUUGUGAAAUGUUGGGUUAAGUCCCGCAACGAGCGCAACCCUUAUCCUUGUUUGCCAGCGAGUAAUGUCGGGAACUCCAGGGAGACUGCCGGUGAUAAACCGGAGGAAGGUGGGGACGACGUCAAGUCAUCAUGGCCCUUACGAGUAGGGCUACACACGUGCUACAAUGGCGCAUACAGAGGGCUGCCAACCAGCGAUGGUGAGCGAAUCCCAAAAAGUGCGUCGUAGUCCGGAUUGGAGUCUGCAACUCGACUCCAUGAAGUCGGAAUCGCUAGUAAUC